GACGAACGCUGGCGGCGUGCUUAACACAUGCAAGUCGAGCGGUAAGGCCCUUUCGGGGGUACGACGAGCGGCGAACGGGUGAGUAACACGUGGGUGACCUGCCCUCAGCUCUGGGAUAAGCCUGGGAAACUGGGUCUAGUACUGGAUAUGACUCCACGGUGCAUGUCGUGGGGUGGAAAGCCUUGUGCGGCUGAGGAUGGGCCCGCGGCCUAUCAGCUUGUUGGUGGGGUGANGGCCUACCAAGGCGACGACGGGUAGCCGGCCUGAGAGGGCGACCGGCCACACUGGGACUGAGACACGGCCCAGACUCCUACGGGAGGCAGCAGUGGGGAAUCUUGCGCAAUGGGCGAAAGCCUGACGCAGCGACGCCGCGUGAGGGAUGACGGCCU
rnacentral:rRNA from 1 species